GAUCAUCCUCAUUCUUGUACUCCUAUUGGCAAACUCGGGAGCUUCAGGAGAGCACACAAGCCCAUCCCUCUCAGAUACUGGCUUAUGGCUGUGCCAGACAGCACCCAGGUGUGGGAACAGGAUCUACAACCCCUUGGAGCAGUGUUGUGUGGAUGACAACAUCCUACCGCUUAAUCAGACCCGCUAUUGUGGCUCCACUGACUGCCCCUACUGGCCCUGCUUUGAGCUCUGCUGUUCUGAAUCCUUUAGGGACCCGCAGCAGUUUGUUAUCAAGUUGAAAACUGAGGGGACAAAAUCCCAUUGCAGUUCAUCCCCCAUUUCUGGGAACUGUGAGAGCAGGAAGACAUCUGACAAAGAAAAGAUCCUCAAGAAAACUUUUUAUUAGGCAAAAAAGUGAUUUCCGGAUUUGAGUGCCUGGUUUCUUCUGAUAAACACCAGCUCCUGAAGGAUGGACACCUGUGGCACGGGGUGAAGUGACAUUAUGUGUGUGUCAUUAAAAUUCUCAUUUGAACAUAGUUUACUUAACAGCAUGUAUUGGAAUGUUCUAAAAUUAUCACAUGUCAAUGCAA